rnacentral:rRNA from 1 species
AUUGAACGCUGGCGGCAGGCCUAACACAUGCAAGUCGAGCGGAGCGGCGGACGGGGGAGUAAUGCUUAGGAAUCUGCCUGGUAGUGGGGGAGAACGUUCGGAAAUGGGCGCUAAUACCGCAUACUAUCAGAUGAGCCUAGGUCGGAUUAGCUAGUUGGUGGGGUAAGGGCCCACCAAGGCGACGAUCCGUAACUGGACGGAGAGGAUGAUCAGCCACACUGGAACUGAGACACGGUCCAGACUCCUACGGGAGGCAGCAGUGGGGAAUAUUGGACAAUGGGCGAAAGCCUGAUCCAGCCAUGCCGCGUGUGUGAAGAAGGUCUUCGGAUUGUAAAGCACUUUAAGUUGGGAGGCGUUACCCACAGAAUAAGCACCGGCUAACUUCGUGCCAGCAGCCGCGAUAAUAC